UCAAGAUUAGUGCUCUGCACAUCCUGCAGCCAAUCCCUACUGCUGGUGACUCAGAAUUCUAAAUCGUGCUAACCCACAUGUUGUUUAUGCUAAAUACCCACUAAUGCACACUGCAAACACGGUUUAAAGAGGUUUCUCUGUCUCUCUCACAGGUUAUCAGAGCUUACUAAGUACAACCAGCUGUAACGAAGGAGCCUUUCCUCUGGGCUGAGAUACAAAGCCUGAUAAAGGACAGUGGGCACAUGGAACGAUACACACCCCCUCCAGAUUGGACGAUGAAAGUCAUAUUUCACCAUCACCUGAAUUAUAAAAACAAAUCCUGAAUAAUACAGAUUUCUUCAAACGCUACAGGGCUCCUUAAUGUCGCUGCGUGGAGCUUAAACCUUAAUUGAGUCAAAAAAGGUUCGUGAUUUCUUUUAGAAUUGAUCUAUUCCUGCACCUGAGGUCAACAGGUGACACAUGAUGGAUGCAUGAUUUUAUAGCUCGCUCCAGUUUAAUAGGGCCCUUGCAUAAAUCUUUCCU